GACUUCUUUGGGCAAUGGUGGCGCAUUCGACUACAGAUCGUAAGGUUGGGCGUUCGAUCCGCUCAGUCGUCA
rnacentral:tRNA from 1 species